GACUCCAUAGUGUAGUGGUUAGCACAUCUGCUUUACAUGCAGAAGGUCCUGGGUAUGUGUCCCAGGUGGAGCCA
rnacentral:tRNA from 1 species